ACAUUAAGGCCCUGAUCUAAAGCCCACUGAAAUUGAUGGGAGUCUUUCUAUUGACUUUAGGGGGCUUUGGAUCAGGCCUUGAGUGU
rnacentral:pre_miRNA from 1 species